GCGGGAAUAGUUNAGUGGUAAAA
rnacentral:tRNA from 1 species